UGGGGAAUAUUGCGCAAUGGGGGGAACCCUGACGCAGCCAUGCCGCGUGAAUGAAGAAGGCCUUAGGGUUGUAAAGUUCUUUCGGUAUUGAGGAAGGUUGAUGUGAUAAUAGCACAUCAAAUUGACGUUAAAUACAGAAGAAGCACCGGCUAACUCCGUGCCAGCAGCCGCGGUAAUACGGAGGGCGCGAGCGUUAAUCGGAAUAACUGGGCGUAAAGGGCACGCAGGCGGUUAUUUAAGUGAGGUGUGAAAGCCCUGGGCUUAACCUGGGAAUUGCAUUUCAGACUGGGUAACUAGAGUACUUUAGGGAGGGGUAGAAUUCCACGUGUAGCGGUGAAAUGCGUAGAGAUGUGGAGGAAUACCGAAGGCGAAGGCAGCCCCUUGGGAAUGUACUGACGCUCAUGUGCGAAAGCGUGGGGAGCAAACAGGAUUAGAUACCCUGGUAGUCCACGCUGUAAACGCUGUCGAUUUGGGGGUUGGGGUUUAACUCUGGCGCCCGUAGCUAACGUGAUAAAUCGACCGCCUGGGGAGUACGGCCGCAAGGUUA
rnacentral:rRNA from 1 species